rnacentral:misc_RNA from 1 species
AAAAAAACAGCAUCUUUAGCCAAAGACUAUAUUUACAUAAUGUAACUGAUGAGAAUUCAAGCAAUAAGAACUAUUUUCCUUCCUGAUACAUAAGACUAUAACAGAACAAUUCAUGUUCAGACAAGCUACAUUUUCAGUUGAUGGAAUUUGACACGACCAGGACGACCAAUAGUUCCUCGUUUUCCAUCCAAGAUGAAUGCCACAAAUCUAACAUCAAAGGUUUGAUAUUUCUUUAUGAUCUAAGUCAAAUGAGAGGACACGCCAUGGCCCCUCGAGAUAUUGUCUAUGAAAAGAAUACCAUGGUACUUUUAGCUCUUUCACGAGCCAACUCCGUUCUACUCAAGGAUUUCAUGUUCCAAGCGUCAAUAUAUUACUAUUCCAUAGUCUACCGAUGGUGUUUUGAACCUACAAAGGCUUAUUCAUCCAAUUUAGAGCGCUUCAAAGGAGGUGAAUCAGAUGUGCUGGUUAUAUUUGUCUCAGGAUCUCCAAGAACUUCUCUUUCCCGCUCUUUCUGUUUCUCGUGAUCAACUUCUUUAGCAGUGUCAACCUGUGACAACUGUGCAAAGGCAUCAUCUGCUGUAGAAGAUGAUGAGCCUUUAGCCAAGUCUGCG